GACGAACGCUGGCGGCGUGCCUAAUACAUGCAAGUCGAACGCUUCUUUUCCCACCGGAGCUUGCUCCACCGGGAAAAGAGGAGUGGCGAACGGGUGAGUAACACGUGGGUAACCUGCCCAUCAGAAGGGGAUAACACUUGGAAACAGGUGCUAAUACCGUAUAACAAUCGAAACCGCAUGGUUCCGUUUUGAAAGGCGCUUUACGGUGCCGCUGAUGGAUGGACCCGGGGUGCAUUAGCUAGUUGGUGAGGUAACGGCUAACCAAGGCCACGAUGAAUAGCCGACCUGAGAGGGUGAUCGGCCACAUUGGGACUGAGACACGGCCCAAACUCCUACGGGAGGCAGCAGUAGGGAAUCUUCGGCAAUGGACGAAAGUCUGACCGAGCAACGCCGCGUGAGUGAAGAAGGUUUUCGGAUCGUAAAACUCUGUUGUUAGAGAAGAACAAGGGUGAGAGUAACUGUUCACCCCUUGACGGUAUCUAACCAGAAAGCCACGGCUAACUACGUGCCAGCAGCCGCCGUAA
rnacentral:rRNA from 1 species